rnacentral:rRNA from 1 species
ACGAACGCUGGCGGCGUGCUUAACACAUGCAAGUCGAACGGAAAGGCCCUGCUUGCAGGGUACUCGAGUGGCGAACGGGUGAGUAACACGUGGGUGAUCUGCCCUGCACUUCGGGAUAAGCCUGGGAAACUGGGUCUAAUACCGGAUAGGAGCCAUUUUUAGUGUGAUGGUUGGAAAGUUUUUUCGGUGUAGGAUGAGCUCGCGGCCUAUCAGCUUGUUGGUGGGGUAAUGGCCUACCAAGGCGGUGACGGGUAGCCGGCCUGAGAGGGUGGACGGCCACAUUGGGACUGAGAUACGGCCCAGACUCCUACGGGAGGCAGCAGUGGGGAAUAUUGCACAAUGGGCGCAAGCCUGAUGCAGCGACGCCGCGUGGGGGAUGACGGCCUUCGGGUUGUAAACUCCUUUCGCUAGGGACGAAGCUUUUUGUGACGGUACCUAGAUAAGAAGCACCGGCUAACUACGUG